GCGCGUUGGACACAUUUGGUUAUUUCGUGUAGCUUUAUGGUCCGUUUCAAUUCGUGUGAGGAAGAAAGAUUCGACUUCAAUGAACAUUACCGUUCAGCGCAGAAUCAACGGAAGCAACACAACGGGUUUUUGAAUUGUGUCAGCGCUUUCAAUUUUUGCAAUUGCACAGCUUCGAGGUGAAGAACUGAAUCGGAUUUCAGUGGUAGAUGCGAGGUUCAAUUCACGUGCCUGUUGUGGCAGCUGGUUCACUCCAUACUAUUAUUCAAUCCAAAACAAGAAGGUGCUGCUAUUCGGUUUGGCAUUUCUGGAAGCCAGAAUCAAAUACUGCGUAAUCUCCAUUCCGAUACGGCGCCUUCUACAAUGAAAACGGUGCAAUCAACCGGUGCUCUUAGUGGAGGGUGAAAUUGAUGUUGUAUCGAAUGUGCAAGCGGUGAAUUCGGUGCACUGUCAAAAUUGAACAAUAAGUGAAUUUUACAGCUACAGUAGCACGGAUCGGAAAUUCAUUCAAGCAACUUUGAUCCACUCAUUCAAAACAGAGUGUAAGCGGUGCAGUAGAGAAAUCUCUAGCAGCUUCGGUACAGUUUCGGUACACUGGCAGUGAUUGGAAAUUGAAUUCUGCUUGUCGUCGCUUGAAUCGCGAAUUACAAAUACAUCUGCCAAAUGUUCAACGAUGUACCUACUCACGGUGUAAGUCAGUGCAAUUUCAUAUGCUGGGUUUUGCAAGCACGAGAGGCGUGAAGAAGCACAAUAAGCUAGCAAUUGAUCCGUGCUAAUGUUUUAAACAAUGAAAUUGAUUGAAAUAGCUGGGGAUUUUUAAUUCUGUAGAAUUAAGUGAUUGCAUUAGUGCAUCACGUUAAUUGGGAUUUAAGUGUGGUAUUUAGUGUUUGGUUCAAUUCAGCAGUGAUAAUUCAGGGAAGUAGCUGUGAUAUUCACUGAAAAGUUGGGAUGGAAUUGGUGAUGUGCGCCAAUAUUUGAAGCAGGAGCUUGCGCUAAUUGGAUGGAAUUGCUGGUGGCCUUCGGUUCAUCAAUUUGUCUAGUUGAAAAUUUGUC
rnacentral:sRNA from 1 species